rnacentral:rRNA from 1 species
CGUACAAGGUCUCCGUAGGUGAACCUGCGGAGGGAUCAUUACAAGAACGCCCGGGCNNCGGCCUGGUUAUUCAUAACCCUUUGUUGUCCGACUCUGUUGCCUCCGGGGCGACCCUGCCUUCGGGCGGGGGCUCCGGGUGGACACUUCAAACUCUUGCGUAACUUUGCAGUCUGAGUAAACUUAAUUAAUAAAUUAAAACUUUUAACAACGGAUCUCUUGGUUCUGGCAUCGAUGAAGAACGCAGCGAAAUGCGANAAGUAAUGUGAAUUGCAGAAUUCAGUGAAUCAUCGAAUCUUUGAACGCACAUUGCGCCCCCUGGUAUUCCGGGGGGCAUGCCUGUUCGAGCGUCAUUUCACCACUCAAGCCUCGCUUGGUAUUGGGCAACGCGGUCCGCCGCGUGCCUCAAAUCGUCCGGCUGGGUCUUCUGUCCCCUAAGCGUUGUGGAAACUAUUCGCUAAAGGGUGUUCGGGAGGCUACGCCGUAAAACAACCCCAUUUCUAAGGUUGACCNCGGAUCAGGUAGGGAUACCCGCUGAACUUAAGCAUAUCA